AAGGUGGGACAGAUGAUUGGGGUGAAGUCGUAACAAGGUAGCCGUAUCGGAAGGUGCGGCUGGAUCACCUCCUUUCUAAGGAA
rnacentral:rRNA from 2 species